rnacentral:rRNA from 1 species
GACGAAACGCGGCGGCGUGCUUAACACAUGCAAGUCGAACGCUGAAGGCCCAGCUUGCUGGGUUGGAUGAGUGGCGAACGGGUGAGUAACACGUGAGUAACCUGCCCCCUUCUUUGGGGUAACGGUCGGAAACGGCUGCUAAUACCGGGUAUUCACUGUCCUUCGCAUGGGGGGUGGUGGAAAGGUUUUUUCUGGUGGGGGAUGGGCUCGCGGCCUAUCAGCUUGUUGGUGGGGUGAUGGCUUACCAAGGCUUUGACGGGUAACCGGCCUGAGAGGGUGACCGGUCACAUUGGGACUGAGAUACGGCCCAGACUCCUACGGGAGGCAGCAGUGGGGAAUAUUGCACAAUGGGCGAAAGCCUGAUGCAGCGACGCCGCGUGAGGGAUGGAGGCCUUCGGGUUGUAAACCUCUUUCGCUCAUGGUCAAGCCGCAACAGUGGUUGUGGUGAGGGUAGUGGGUAAAGAAGCACCGGCUAACUACGUGCCAGCAGCCGCGGUAAUACGUAGGGUGCGAGCGUUGUCCGGAAUUAUUGGGCGUAAAGGGCUUGUAGGCGGUUUGUCGCGUCUGCCGUGAAAUCCUCUGGCUUAACUGGGGGCGUGCGGUGGGUACGGGCAGGCUUGAGUGCGGUAGGGGAGACUGGAACUCCUGGUGUAGCGGUGGAAUGCGCAGAUAUCAGGAAGAACACCGGUGGCGAAGGCGGGUCUCUGGGCCGUUACUGACGCUGAGGAGCGAAAGCGUGGGGAGCGAACAGG